rnacentral:rRNA from 1 species
AGCUGCGAUAAAUAGUGCGAAUUGCAGACGCAUUGAGCACAAAGAUUUCGAAGUGCACAUUGCACCAUUGGGUU